rnacentral:rRNA from 1 species
CGGAAUCUGCCUAUUUGUGGGGGAUAACGUAGGGAAACUUACGCUAAUACCGCAUACGACCUACGGGUGAAAGCGGAGGACCUUCGGGCUUCGCGCAGAUAGAUGAGCCGAUGUCGGAUUAGCUAGUUGGCGGGGUAAAGGCCCACCAAGGCGACGAUCCGUAGCUGGUCUGAGAGGAUGAUCAGCCACACUGGAACUGAGACACGGUCCAGACUCCUACGGGAGGCAGCAGUGGGGAAUAUUGGACAAUGGGCGAAAGCCUGAUCCAGCCAUGCCGCGUGGGUGAAGAAGGCCUUCGGGUUGUAAAGCCCUUUUGUUGGGAAAGAAAAGCAGUCGGUUAAUACCCGAUUGUUCUGACGGUACCCAAAGAAUAAGCACCGGCUAACUUCGUGCCAGCAGCCGCGGUAAUACGAAGGGUGCAAGCGUUACUCGGAAUUACUGGGCGUAAAGCGUGCGUAGGUGGUUUGUUAAGUCUGAUGUGAAAGCCCUGGGCUCAACCUGGGAAUUGCAUUGGAUACUGGCAGGCUAGAGUGCGGUAGAGGGUAGUGGAAUUCCCGGU